UACGGAGGGUGCUAGCGUUGUUCGGAAUCACUGGGCGUAAAGCGCGUGUAGGCGGUCUGCUAAGUCUGAUGUGAAAGCCCGGGGCUCACCCCCGGAAGUGCAUUGGAAACUGGCAGACUGGAGUCCCGGAGAGGGGGGUGGAAUUCCUGGUGUAGCGGUGAAAUGCGUAGAUAUCAGGAGGAACACCGGUGGCGAAGGCGGCCCUCUGGACGGUGACUGACGCUGAGACGCGAAAGCGUGGGGAGCAAACAGG
rnacentral:rRNA from 1 species